rnacentral:rRNA from 1 species
GAUGAACGCUAGCGGCAGGCCUAACACAUGCAAGUCGAGGGAGGAGCCUUCGGGCUUCGACCGGCGUACGGGUGCGUAACGCGUAUACAAUCUGCCUUUCACAUAGGGAUAGCCCGAAGAAAUUUGGAUUAAUACCUAAUGGUAUAUAGAUGUGGCAUCACCUUUAUAUUAAAGCUGAGGCGGUGAAAGAUGAGUAUGCGUUCUAUUAGCUAGUUGGAGAGGUAACGGCUCCCCAAGGCGACGAUAGAUAGGGGUUCUGAGAGGGAUAUCCCCCACACUGGGACUGAGAUACGGACCAGACUCCUACGGGAGGCAGCAGUGAGGAAUAUUGGACAAUGGUCGGAAGACUGAUCCAGCCAUGCCGCGUGCAGGAAGACGGCCUUAUGGGUUGUAAACUGCUUUUGCAGGGGAAGAAUAAGGACUACGCGUAGUUUGAUGACGGUACUCUGCGAAUAAGCAUCGGCUAACUCCGUG